CCUACGGGGGGCAGCAGUGGGGAAUAUUGGACAAUGGGCGAAAGCCUGAUCCAGCCAUGCCGCGUGUGUGAAGAAGGCCUUCGGGUUGUAAAGCACUUUCAGUGGGGAAGAAAGCCUUGGGGCUAAUACCCUCGAGGAAGGACAUCACCCACAGAAGAAGCACCGGCUAACUCCGUGCCAGCAGCCGCGGUAAUACGGAGGGUGCGAGCGUUAAUCGGAAUUACUGGGCGUAAAGCGCGCGUAGGCGGUCUGAUAAGCCGGUUGUGAAAGCCCCGGGCUCAACCUGGGAACGGCAUCCGGAACUGUCCGGGCUGAGUGCAGGAGAGGGAGGUAGGAAUCCCGGGGUAGCGGGGAAAUGCGGAGGGAUCGGGAAGAAAACCAGGUGCGGAGGCGGCCUUCUGGACUUACACUGGCGCCGAGGUGCGAAAGCCUGGGGAGGCAACAAGAUUAGAUAACCCGUAGUC
rnacentral:rRNA from 1 species